AUAAAAAGUAGCACAGUUUUCAAUCCUUGGUAAAUUUGCCAAAGCAUAACAACCCUUACCUGCAUGAAGUUAACACAUAUUCUAAUAAGGUACAAAUAAUCAAAUAGAAAACAAUUAUGGGCAAGAAGCAUAUAAAAGAGAGCAAAGUAAAUGUGGCCAAGCAUGCAACUGUGUUUCCUUUUAUUAAAGUAAACAAUGAUUUAAAAGAAUUAUGUGAAAAAAGAUUGGAAAAAGAACUCAGCUCUUAUAGUGGCGAAGCUACCAAACAAUAGAAAAUAAGAAGUAUGUUAGAGUUGAAGGAAAAAAAUAUGAAGUUUGGUUGCAAAAUGGUUGGGAAAAAUUGUGAAAUUAUGUCACUUAGAGUAUGAGUUUUUAUUAA